CCUGACGCAGCGACGCCGCGUGGAGGAUGACGCAUUUCGGUGUGUAAACUCCUUUUAUAAGGGAAGAUAAUGACGGUACCUUAUGAAUAAGCACCGGCUAACUCCGUGCCAGCAGCCGCGGUAAUACGGAGGGUGCAAGCGUUACUCGGAAUCACUGGGCGUAAAGGAUGCGUAGGCUGUAAUAUAAGUCAGAAGUGAAAUCCAACGGCUUAACCGUUGAACUGCUUUUGAAACUGUUUUACUAGAAUAUGGGAGAGGUAGAUGGAAUUGGUGGUGUAGGGGUAAAAUCCGUAGAUAUCACCAGGAAUACCGAUUGCGAAGGCGAUCUACUGGAACAUUAUUGACGCUGAGGCAUGAAAGCGUGGGGAGCAAACAGGAUUAGAGACCCCGGUAGUCUUAGCUGUAAACUAUGUGAACUUGGCGUCGGUGGGUUCAAAUCCAUCGGUGCCGAAGCUAACGCGAUAAGUUCACCGCCUGGGGACUACGGCCGCAAGGUUAAAACUCAAAGGAAUUGACGG
rnacentral:rRNA from 1 species